UGGCAAAUCCGGAGAUCUUAUCUGAGGCGUGAUGACGAGGGUCUACGGACCUGAAGUGAGUAAUCCCAAGCUUCCAGGAAAAGCCUCUAAGCUUCAGUUCACAACUGACCGUACCGCAAACCGACACAGGUGGGUAGGUAGAGAAUACCAAGGCGCUUGAGAGAACUCGGGUUAAGGAACUCGGCAAAUUGACACCGUAACUUCGGGAGAAGGUGUGCCCCGGUAGCGUGUAGGACUUCGCGUCCGAAGCGUGAUGGGGUCGCAGAGAAUAGGUGGCUGCGACUGUUUAAUAAAAACACAGCUCUGUGCCAACACGAAAGUGGACGUAUACGGAGUGACGCCUGCCCGGUGCCGGAAGGUUAAGUGAUGGGGUGCAAGCUCUUGAUCGAAGCCCCGGUAAACGGCGGCCGUAACUAUAACGGUCCUAAGGUAGCGAAAUUCCUUGUCGGGUAAGUUCCGACCCGCACGAAUGGCGUAACGAUGGCCACACUGUCUCAACCCGAGACUCAGCGAAGUUGAAAUGUUUGUGAAGAUGCAAUCUCCCCGCUGCUAGACGGAAAGACCCCGUGAACCUUUACUGUAGCUUUGCAUUGGACUUUGAACAGGCUUGUGUAGGAUAGGUGGGAGGCUUUGAAGCUGAGACGCUAGUUUCAGUGGAGCCGUCCUUGAAAUACCACCCUGGUGUGUUUGAGGUUCUAACCUGGGUCCAUCAUCUGGAUCGGGGACCGUGCAUGGUAGGCAGUUUGACUGGGGCGGUCUCCUCCCAAAGUGUAACGGAGGAGUUCGAAGGUUACCUAGGUACGGUCGGACAUCGUACUGAUAGUGCAAUGGCAAAAGGUAGCUUGACUGCGAGACCGACAAGUCGAGCAGGUGCGAAAGCAGGACAUAGUGAUCCGGUGGUUCUGAAUGGAAGGGCCAUCGCUCAACGGAUAAAAGGUACUCCGGGGAUAACAGGCUGAUUCCGCCCAAGAGUUCAUAUCGACGGCGGAGUUUGGCACCUCGAUGUCGGCUCAUCACAUCCUGGGGCUGUAGCCGGUCCCAAGGGUAUGGCUGUUCGCCAUUUAAAGUGGUACGUGAGCUGGGUUUAAAACGUCGUGAGACAGUUUGGUCCCUAUCUGCAGUGGGCGUUGGAAGUUUGAGGGGGGCUGCUCCUAGUACGAGAGGACCGGAGUGGACGCAUCUCUGGUGUACCGGUUGUGACGCCAGUCGCAUCGCCGGGUAGCUAUAUGCGGAAGAGAUAAACGCUGAAAGCAUCUAAGCGUGAAACUCGCCUCAAGAUGAGACUUCCCUGGAGACUUGAUCUCCCUGAAGGGCCGUGGAAGACCACCACGUUGAUAGGUCGGGUGUGGAAGCGCAGUAAUGCGUUAAGCUAACCGAUACUAAUUACCCGUGAGGCUUGAUCCU
rnacentral:rRNA from 1 species